GGGUCAGUAGGGUCGUCGUGCCACCGGUACGUACUGGUCUCACUGAUUCCUCCUUCCUGAAGAACCGUAAUGCCAUUAAUUUGGUGUUGCGGGGAAACAGGACUGUUACUUGGAAAAAAUUAGAGUGUUUAAAGCAAGCUAACGCUUGAAUACAUUAGCAUGGAAUAAUGAAAUAGGACGAUCGAUCCUAUUUUGUUGGUUUCUAGGAUUGACGUA
rnacentral:rRNA from 1 species